AUACGUAGGGGGCAAGCGUUGUCCGGAAUUACUGGGCGUAAAGCGCACGCAGGCUGACUUAUACGUCGGUAGUCUAAUGCGGAGGCUCAACUUCCGUUUAUCUAUCGAUACUGUAAGACUAGAGUAUGUGAGAGGGAAGUGGAAUUCCCGGUGUAGCGGUGAAAUGCGCAGAUAUCGGGAGGAACACCAGUGGCGAAGGCGACUUCCUGGCACAAUACUGACGCUCAUGUGCGAAAGCUAGGGUAGCGAACGGGAUUAGAUACCCCGGUAGUCCUAGCCGUAAACGAUGGAUACUAGGUGUGGGUGUCGCAGGGCAUCCGUGCCGCAGCUAACGCGUUAAGUAUCCCGCCUGGGGACUACGGUCGCAAGACUGAAACUCAAAGGAAUUGACGGGG
rnacentral:rRNA from 1 species